rnacentral:lncRNA from 1 species
GGUCGGAUUGUCGAAUCAUAUAAUAACCAAGUGGCUGCCCUUAAAGGAAAUAUAACCAAACAACCAAAUUCCGUCAAUAGGAUGUCUAGUAUGGAAUUGGGGCACCCAUUUUAGCCUAGGGAGGUCAAGUGGUGUCUCUGCCCACGUGCUGCCGCACGUGGCCCCGACUUACCGGAAAAUUCAACUAUUUUAAAAAAUUAUCAAAAUUUACAGUAAUGAAGAUUUCAAUG